rnacentral:pre_miRNA from 1 species
CGCGGUCAACCCGUAGAUCCGAACUUGUGUUGAGAUUUUCUUCCGAACAUGAGCUCGGCACUCGGGUAGACUGCGU